rnacentral:rRNA from 1 species
AUUGAACGCUGGCGGCAGGCCUAACACAUGCAAGUCGAACGAGUGGCGGACGGGUGAGUAAUGUCUGGGAAACUGCCUGAUGGAGGGGGAUAACUACUGGAAACGGUAGCUAAUACCGCAUACCAUCGGAUGUGCCCAGAUGGGAUUAGCUAGUAGGUGGGGUAACGGCUCACCUAGGCGACGAUCCCUAGCGGGUCUGAGAGGAUGACCCGCCAAACUGGAACGGUGACACGGUCCAGACUCCUACGGGAGGCAGCAGUAGGGAAUAUUGCACAAUGGGCGCAAGCCUGAUGGAGCCAUGCCGCGUGUAUGAAGAAGGCCGUCGGGUUGUAAAGUACUUUCAGCGGAGAGGCGUUACCCGCAGAAGAAGCACCGGCUAACUCCGUGCCAGCAGCCGCGGUAAUUC